AAAGCUGCUUGUACGGAUGUAUAUGAAUAUGUGUGUAUGGAUAUGUGGGGACACUAGUUUUUAAUUAUAAAGCCAAAUAUCUACUUGGGAAACAUUUAUCCUAAAUUCUGAUUGUUAUUUCCUUGUCAAAUAGACUGGAAGCUGCUAAUUCGGCGCAAAUGUGUUCUGAUGAAUCGCCUGUUUCCGUGUACAGAUUUGAUUCGGGGUGUUACAUCCGCACUGUCCUCCAACCUCCAACGAUCGGAUCUCCCCCGCCAGACCUCGCCAAGAUCCACAGCCAUAACGCCCCUCCACAGGAUAUCUUUUGUAAGGCGAUAUCUUGCCGUGAUGUCUUCGACGUGGAGCUUGGCAGCUCCUGAACCCUGGUGUCUAGCGCUGCUCGAUCGUCUGCCACUGCUUUUGCUCCUUUUUGGCUCUGUAUCGGCGAUGUUCCACUGUUGGCUGCUGCUGCUGCUCUGGUUUUGCUGAUGCUGCUUUCGCAUCUGCCUCUGCUUCCCACCCCGUCAACCUCAUGCUCUUUGCUCGGAUCGAGCUAAAUCCGACCACAUCUAGUGGGAUCUUGCUCAGAUCUGGUCAAACCUGGCUUGAUCUAACCAAUCGAAUCGCGAUCCGGUCAGAUUCGAUCGGAUCCAUUUCGAUCUGGGUCAGGUAGUUUAUGGUCCGCUUUGACCGAGUCGGGUCGGAUCCAACUCGUUUAUGUCGGGUUGGAUCCGACCACUGAAGGAGCGGUUGCAGUCAAACAUCAGUCUCUCUCGUUUCUUUUUGUAUAUCUCGUCGCCGGUGCCUUCCCCGGCUUGCAGGAUUGGUUGGCUUGAGGUAUGCUAUUGGCAGGAUUGGUCGGCUCCUUGGCGCUUUCCUCGACUUUGUUGGAUUGGUCGGCUCCUGGUGUCUUCCUCGACCUUGAUUAUUGGUCUGAUCUAGCAGGCCAUCACCAUGACAAGUUUAUAGUGCACGAGUAUGGCUCAAGAUCCCUCAUGUUUUGUUUUGACAUCGAUGUUUCUUUGGAACAUCGACUUCGGAUGACUGAGACCCACAUGGAGGACCCUCCCCCUGGUUGUUAUCGAGGUCCAUGUGGGAUGGCAGGAGGUCUUGAUCAGUGCAUCAGAUUGGCUGCUACAUUUGUUUUAUGGUUAUUUGCUUGGUGUUUUCCUCUACUUUUUUUUUUAUGUAGUUGCCAUCCGUUUGUUCUGAUCUUGUAAUUUUCAUUCUCUUACUCGUAAUGAUAUCCUCAUUACUUUUCGAGAAAAAGAGUUCUAGUAAAGUGAACAGAACCCUUUCUAGAAAACUAGGAUUUAUCGACCAGGUACCAUCAUUUUUGGGAAAGUAGCAAACUUACUAACGUUCCAGAAAAAUCCACAAAAAUUACAUAAAAUAGAACAUUCAAAUGUGAAUCCAUACUAAUAGAGGAUGAUAUGCGAUCAUAUAUUUCCAUUUAUAAUUGUUGUAUUCUAAGCAUGUAUCGAUAUAUAUUUAUGUA